rnacentral:rRNA from 1 species
UACGAAGGGGGCUAGCGUUGCUCGGAAUUACUGGGCGUAAAGGGCGCGUAGGCGGACAUUUAAGUCGGGGGUGAAAGCCUGUGGCUCAACCACAGAAUUGCCUUCGAUACUGUAGAGCUUGAGACCGGAAGAGGUAAGUGGAACUGCGAGUGUAGAGGUGAAAUUCGUAGAUAUUCGCAAGAACACCAGUGGCGAAGGCGGCUUACUGGUCCGGUUCUGACGCUGAGGCGCGAAAGCGUGGGGAGCAAACAGG